rnacentral:rRNA from 1 species
UACGUAGGGUGCGAGCGUUAAUCGGAAUUACUGGGCGUAAAGCGUGCGCAGGCGGUGAUGUAAGACAGUUGUGAAAUCCCCGGGCUCAACCUGGGAACUGCAUCUGUGACUGCAUCGCUGGAGUGCGGCAGAGGGGGAUGGAAUUCCGCGUGUAGCAGUGAAAUGCGUAGAUAUGCGGAGGAACACCGAUGGCGAAGGCAAUCCCCUGGGCCUGCACCGACGCUCAUGCACGAAAGCGUGGGGAGCAAACAGG